rnacentral:lncRNA from 1 species
CGCGUGUCGAGUCACGUGCCGUGGGCGGGAGGGGGCCGGGGCGCGGGAGGCGAGGGCGCGGUGACACGGGCCGGAGGGGCCUGCGCCCGCGGAGGGCGCGCGAGGGGGCGUGUGGCCCCCGAUGGAGCCCUGCCGCGCGGGUGCCCCGGCGCUGGCUGAGGGGCUUGGCGCUUCUCGGCGAGCAGUGCUAGGUUUGUCGUCGCAGCGCUUCGGGGAGCCUAGUCCAGGAGAGAGGACCUGCCUGCGCUGCUCGGCUCAGAACUCGGACCUUACAGGUGGUGUGUACAUCCCGGUGGACGGGUAGACACUUCUGUGUGCUCCUGAAGGCCGGCUGCGUGUAAUAACCAACUGGAGUGCUUUAAGAAGGAUUCUAACGCCAGCCCAAUCCCAGACCAAUUGGACCCACAUCCACAUAGGGCCUGGACAGUGUAUUUUUAACCCCCUCUUCCCCAUAAGUGAUUUUGGUGCAGUGAGAAUUUAUAGAAGUAACCAGCUUGAUGGAAUAGCUACUUGUGAAAUCACAUCUAUUUAGGGACAAAAUAGUAAAAAUAGCUAAAAUAGCUAACACGUAUUCAUCUGUCACUCAGUGGGGUCUCUGUGUCAGAUACUGCGGCUCCCCAAACAUGGAUCUACUCGUAGAAGUACUGUUACCCCUAUUUUAUAGUUGGAGGAGGAGUGGAAGCUCGGAGUUAAUCAGGGAGGACUACUGUGACUAGGACCUAGGGAGGUCGAGUUCAAAACCCCUACUUUCAACAGUCACAUAUGCCUCGUGGAAAAUGUACCUUUGCCUAAGGGCCCCAUGUUUGUGUGAAUAGUAGUAAUGUUUGCCUGAGGGCCAGCUUGUUUAUGUGGGUACAUUUCUACUGUUAAGAUUUUUGUCUGAAAAGCUUUGCUUGUAUAGGGGAGGAAAAUCGUGGUGAUUCUUUAAGGCCUGUAGGCGACCUUUUCCAGAAGUUUAUUGUGGAUCAAGGAGAGAGGGGAUCUCCGUAAUUUGAAGUGAAUAGGUUCUCUGGAAGUUUCUUGUUUUGUUUUUGAGACUUGAGCAUUUCUAUAAUGUGAAGGGGAGAGUCCGGAAGAGGCAGAUAUUUUCCAAGUAUUUACAUGAGCAACCACAAGAGUACUUUAGGUUGCUGGAUGCGAUACAGUUGUGGUGUGGUCACAGCUGGAUGUACCCAGAGGUGCGGUACAGUACAGAGUAGCAGAAGUUCUGCCAUUAGCAUUUUGGAGAAAAAAAAAAACAACUAGUCUGGAGUAGAGAAACUUUGCCGUUACAUCUCUUUUCUCCCCUUAAUUUGUUUGAUUUGUCUCCUGGUCAGAUAAACUGUUGGUGGGACGUUUAGAUGUGGGAGUAGUCCAUUUCAUUAGUAUUUUCUGUACAGAGAUUCCAAAGAAAACUCAUAGUAAACAGAGGUUUCUCCCUGAAAACAAAUGAUACUAGCUACAGUGUAUUUGUGACCAGUAUGUAUUAUUAAGAGGUACCGUGUCACAAAGAACUUUAUAUUCCUGUUGAUUGCUGUCAAAUAUUGUUACCUCUAUGGCAGGCAUGGGUAUAUUAUUUAGCAUACUUUAGGGAUUGGUUUUCAUAUUACUUGCAGUUUUGAUGAGGAAGGCUUAUAGACCUACUCAGGCAAACCUGACUGGAACGUGAGUAUCUGUGGUCUGGUGUGGAAAUAGCUCUCUAGCCCCAUCUCCCUCCUCCCAUUGUCCACCCCCAUCCUCCUUACCACGAAACACAUUUUUCACCAGCAUUGCCAAACCACUUGGGAUUCCUGCGCAUGGCUUUGCUUAGUUUGCUCUUCUGCUUCUUGGAUACCUCCUUCAGGAAAUGUUCCCUGAUUUCUCCUCAGAAACCAUUUAAAAAAUACCCUCCCUGCGUCAUCUCUGCAUUAUAUAUAUGCUUGUCUUAUUGCAUUAUAUCACAGCAUAUCUCAUUGUAUUUGUUACAUAUUGGGCACCUCAAAGGUGAGAAUGGUGACUUGUUUAUCUGCACAUCACUGGCACACAGUAAGCACUUAAGUUUAUUGCAUUGGUCGCAAUUACAUUUACUUCCAUUUAAGUUGCAUUAUCUGUGUCGGUGUUUUCCUGAAUCACUCAUCUUCAUUCUGAACUGUCCUCACCUCCUUCUCUGCUGCUUGCUACCAGGCUAAAAACACAGCUGAAAGCACCCCAAGACAAAACUUACACAGAAAAUACACAAUAAUAGUAACACAUUAUCAAAGAAAUAGGAAGGGGCAAAAUAUCAGUUUUUCACUUGUUUGCGAAUUUCAUCCUUCACUGGCCGAUUGGACGGUGUGAACUUUCUUGGUUACUAAUAUAUGCUGGAGGAGAUGCCCAAGGUUGUUUUUGUUUUUCGAUUUACUUGGGAAGGAAGAACUAGUACUACAUUACCAGUGGACAUGCUUUGAUGUGCCAUAACAGAGCACAGGUGCUUCAUCACAUUUCAUUGCUGUAAUUUUCAGAUUGAGUAUUACAGAGGUAUUUGUAGAGCAGCACUGUCCCAUAGAGCUUUUGGAGAGGAUGGAAAUGAUUUAUAAAUUUGUGUUAUCCAGUGUGGUAGCCACUAGCCACUUGUGGCUAUUGAGCACAUUAAGUGUGACUGACGAACUGAAUUUCUUUUCUUUUCUUUCUUUCUUUUUUUUUUUUUUUUGAGACGGUGUUGUUCUGUCACCAAGGCUGGAGUGCAGUGGUGCAAUCUUGGCCCACUGCAACCUCUGCUUCCCAGGCUGAAGCGAUCCUCCCACCUUAGCCCUCCCGAGUAGCUGGGAUUACAGGGGCCUGCCACCAUGCCUGGCUAUUUUUGUGUUUUUAGUAGGGGUGGGAUUUCGCCAUGUUGCCCAGGCUGGUUUUGAACUCCUGGGCUCAAGCAAUCUGCCCGCCUCGGCCUCCCAAAGUGCUGGGAUUACAGGUGUGAGCCACUGCGCCUAGCCAGAAUUGAAUUUCUAAUUGAUAAAUGUAAAUAGCUGCUAAUGGCUACUGUAUUGGAUGGCACAGUUACAGAAGAUAUGUCUGUAAUUGACAGGUCAUCAUUUAGGCUAAGGUAUUCUGCCUUUAAAAGUCUGCAGUCACAGAAGAUAUGUCCUGUAAUUGACAGGUCAUCAUUUAGGCUAAGGUAUUCUGCCUUUAAAAGUCUGCAGUCAUCUUCUAGGGCUUAACACCAUGCUUCCCGUUCAUAGAUUAUAAGGUGCUUAGUGGGUGAUAUUUUUGGCCUAUGUGGGGCCUUCAUAUUAUGGAGCAUUCGUGUGUUCUGUGGCUUUUCAUGUAGUGCGUGUGGUCUUCCUUUUUCAGGAGCAGAGUAGAGUGAUUAUUAGUAAUUAUGAUUAUGAGUAAUUAUUUACAAAUGGAUGUGAGCCCUUGGUGUAUACACUAAAUGAAAGUCCUAUGAGUUGAAUCAGUACUUUUCUGAGAUGCAUUGUGAGGGGAAGGAACUGUGCUUGUCUUGCUGACCAUUGAUCUCCAAGGCCUAAUAUGCUACUUGACACCUAUCAGUGCUCAUAAAUAUGUUUUGAAUGAAUGAAUGAAUGUUCAACUAACUUAAGCCUUCCAGUUUAGCUUCAGAGGCUGUAACAUGGAGCUGAGAAGAGAAGUAACGAGUAACUACACCAGUGGCUUUAUAGUUCUUCCAAGGAACGCAGUCUCUCCAGGGGUACUAUUGUUAGCUCUGUGACUCUGAUUUCUUUCUGGUAAGAUAUGUAGCAGGAAUUGUUACACUUAUUUGAUGACAGAUUGAAAAAUAAAGUCACAAGAAGAUUUGGUGCUCAGGUCAUACAGAGAGAGUUGGAAGUAUACAUCAAAUGGAAGUAGUUGUUUCUAUUGCAUUGUGCAGUCAUCCAUGAUAACUUCUUUUUUUUUUUUUUGAGUUGGAGUCUCGCUCUGUUGCCUAGGCUGGAGGGCAGUGGCACGAUCUCAGCUCAUUGCAGCCUCUGCCUCCCAGGUUCAAGAGAUUCUCCUGCUUCAGCCUCCCUAGUAGCUGGGAUUACAGGUGUGCGCCACCACGCCCGGCUAAUUUUUGUAUUUUUAGUAGAGAUGGGAUUUCACCACGUUGGUCAGGCUGGUCUCGAACUCCUGGCCUCAGGUGAUCUCCCUACCUCGGCCUCCCGAAGUGCUGGGAUUACAGGCGUGAGCCAUGGCACCUGGCCCAUGAUAACUUCUUCAGAGGAAAUAAAAUAAAAUAAAAUCAUGCGCUGAACUAUGUUAGAAAGUUUGGGUUGUAAAAUCCAAGUUUGUUUGGUAAUUGUGUAUGUUAAUGGAGUCUGAAAAAAGGACUGAAGAUAUUACCUCUAGUGUGGCAGGACAUUGACAAAACAACUUAACCAUGAGAAACAGGAAUGGAAACAUUUCUUUCUUCAGCUUCCAAAUCUCAUGUAUUCUGUGAUUUUUUUUCUAUGGUAAUCCUAGCACCCAAGUUACAAGCUUGUCAAAUGGGAUAUUUAAAAUGUAAAUAGAAAAUGUUUAAUUGUGUAGAUAACCCCUACUAGGCUUUGAAAAAAAAAAUAUAUAUAUAGUAUCAGACACAUCAAACAUCUGUUUAGAAUAAGAGCACUAAGACCAAAAAUUGUAGAUUUUAUUUCAUGUAGUAGAUCCUAUAUUGGGGGUUGAUGAUGUAGCCGAAUAUUUGGUUUAGUACCUUUAAGAGGCGAUAAACAUACUCUGCUAUCUAUACUAUGCAUCAGACUUAACCUACUUUGUGCUGCUAUGUGUGUUUGGAUUUUAGGCCUGUCUUCAUCCACAACAGCUUGUUCCUAGGAUAAAUGUUGUCUUCCUAUCAUUCUGCCACUACAUGUUCCACAAAUGAAAAGUAAUUUUAUCAUAGAGUAAGUCAAACACAAUUGGAAAUACAAAUCUGUUGUCUUAAAAAAAAGUCAUAGAAUACAUUCCAAGAUAAAAUGGGAAGACUUCUCUUUUAAGCAAUUCCUAGUCCUUUAGUCCUUACUUUUCAAAUACCUUUGGUAUGAACCUUUUGGGUGAGGCAAAAAUAUAAAAGCCCCCGAAUCGAAAACAAAGUAUCAACCACGUGUUCGUCAAUUCCUGCUGUUGCCCUUGAAACCAAACCAAAACACGAGCAUAACAAGACAAAACCCACCACUGCUAAUAGCAACAAAAGUUAACCCAACCAACCACACAGAAAGAGCCUGUGAGAUUUGAGUUGUCAUUUUUGUAGCGAGGUCAAUCAUGUGAAGUCUUUUUUAUUUAAAACAUUUUUUAUUUAUCUUUUUCAAGACGGGGUCUGGAGUGCAGUGGCAUAAUCACAACUUACUGCAGCCUUAACCUCCUGGCCUCAAGCAAUCUUCCCACCUCAGCCUCCCCAGGAGCUGGUACUACAGGCACAUGCUACCGUGCCUGGCAAAUUUGUGUUUUUUGUUUGUUUGUUUGUAGAGACAGUGUUUUGCUAUGUUGCCCAGGGUUGACUUGAACUCCUAGGCUCCAGUGACCCACCCCCUCGGCCUCCCAAAGUGUUGGUUGACAGGCAUGAGCCACUGCGCUUGGCCAAGUCUUCUUUUUUAGGUAUUAAAUGUAAAUUACUCAUGACAAAAAUACUUGCCUGUAUCUGAGUAGAUAGUAAUGAUAUUAGAAUUAAUGCUACAAAAGAUCAGGAUGUAUUUUUGCCUAGAAGAUCCUAUGGGACUACUUGGAUUCAGGUAUAUAGUUUAAGAAUCAUUUUGAAGGUCACCAACUUGUUCGAGUUUGAGGAUGUUACUGGCUUCACUUCUUUCUCAUCAGUGGAGUGGUUGGAUUGAACUCUGGUUCUCAAACUUUGGUGUGUAUCAGAAUCACUGAAGAACACACAUUAUUGGGCUGCACCCCAGAGUUUCUGACUCAGAAGGUCUAGGGUGGGCCCACUAAUGUAUAUUUCUUACAAGUUUCCAGGUAAUGCUGACGUUGCUGGUCAGAGGGCCAAACUUUGAGAGCCGUUGGGAUAGACAGUAUCUUCUAAAGUUCUGUGAUUUUUUUUUUUUUUGCCUGUUCCCCCCACCCCCAUCACUUUUCAAGUUGAGCACUGAUCACUGCUUGAUUUCUAAAGGAUUAUGUCAUUUAAAAAUUGCUGUAUGGCAGACUGAGUUGUAAAAGUUUAAAAUGGAUUAGAUUAAUUUUAUUUUGAGAAUUUCUUGAGAACUCCAUAUAUUUUCCAAAAAUAAUGAGUCUGUUAAAACUCAGAUUGGGUAUUCCUACUUAGCUAAAUUAGAAAUCCCCAGUUAAAAUAUAUUAAAGUAUUUCCGAUGUUACUAAAUGACAAAACUAUUUGCUACUCCUUAAACCUAAAUGUUGUAUUAAAUCUAACCAAGUGCCUUUUAUUUAUUUAGAAAUGGUCUCACUCUGUCACCCAGGCUGGAGUGCAGUGGCACAAUCAUAGCUCAUUGCAGUCUCAACCUCCUGGGCUCAAGUGAUCCUCCCUCCUCAACCUCCUGAGUAGCUGGGACUGCAGAUGUGUGCCACCACGCCCAGCUAAAUAAAAAAAAAUGUUUUUCUAGAGAUGGGAUCUUGCCUUGUUGCACAGGCUGGUCUCGAACUGCUGGGUUCAAGCCAUCCUCCCGCCCCAGCCUCCCAAAGUGCUGGGAUUACAGGAAUGAGCUACUGUGCCUGAACUAUUUAGUUUUAGAAAUGGAGUCUCGCUGGAUUGCCUAGACUGCCCUUGAACUCCUGGGCUCAACUAAUCCCCCCACCUCAGCCUUCUGAGUAGCUGGGACUACAGGUGCAUGACAUGGCAUGUGGUCUUCUCUUAAUAUGCAGCUACAGAGUACAAUGCAGCACAUUAUAUAGUUGUGGACUCACUAGAUAAAAUGAUUUUCAUGAGACACAGUUUUUUCUAGACAAAACUCCACGGAUUUGGGUCCAUAAUAGACUGUGACAGCGUUAACUUGGACAUCCCCUAAAGAUAACAGCCUCACGGAAGAAUCAUGGUUGCGGGAAGGAAAUGUCCAUCGGGGCAUGGAUGAGUACGUCAGGGCACAGUCAUUCCUGAUUUUGAUGACCUUGGAGAACAGUGGUGGCUCUGUAGUUUCUAAAUGAGGGGACUGUGGGGCUGGAAUCUGGUAGGAAAGGGAGUGGGGUUACUAGGAGACUUGUCUUCAAGCAGCCCUUUCAUAGCAAGCACACCGUUCUUAGGGUGUAUGUUUAUGGGAGAGGGAAGAUCUUGGGGAGGCGUUGGUGGAGAUUCCAAGGCAUUCUAAGAGGACAGGUGGCGCUCUGGAAGCAUUCCAUGUUAAACCAGACUCCCAGGUGCUGAGAAUCAGAUGGACUCAAGUUGAGUCCAAGUGAGGUUUGACAGUAUAUUCUAAUAUGACUAAAUGUAUUGGAGAGAAAAGAAAAGUUAAGACUUUGAGGAAAAUAUAUAUAACUUUACCUGAAAGCAGAGAAAUAAAAUAGAAGAAAUUGGUGAGCAGGGAAUGGGAAGACAAAAAUGGAAUGUUGUAAGUUUUUAAAUGUCCUGAAACUUUUAAAAGACAUAUUAACUAUGUCAAGAUGAGUCAAUAGCACAGGGUUCUUUGUUAGAAAAUAAUAAAUGAAUAAGUUUUCCUUUUUGUUUCUGGUGAAUACUUCGCAAUAUCGCCAGGUGCUAUUAUUUGACUCAUGUCAAAUGCCUUUCCAAAGUUAUGCCCAGAAUUCAUGCAAUGCUUACAUUUUUAGAUUGCUUUAUGAUCGUUACCUUGUUUAAAUCAAGUUUCUGGAAGGCACACAUGACCGUUAUUACUAGGCGUGCUUUAUGGAUUAGGAAACAAAUCAUUUGUAUAGCGCAGACCACGAAGCUGGGUUGAGACCAUGAGACUUCUCUGCUUUUCACACUACCAGUUUUAGUUUUAUCUUGAAAUUGUAUAUUGUCUCACCGCUUUUAUAAGAGGAUUGAGCCUUAAAAUCUUAAGAGUUGAUUUGGCAUACGCGUAAUUGAUUUGAGCUAUGUUUCAUGGACCCAGCUUUAGAUUUUGAUCACCUCUUUCUCUUUGAAAAGAGCUACGUGUGAUUUGCUACCCAGAUCUGUACUCAUUUCUUGACUCAAAUAUGUAUCUGUGACAUAAUCUUCGUAGUUAAAUCUGUGAAACUUUCAAAUCCUUCAGACUUGACAGUGUGAGGCUGGGGUUGGCAGUCUGCUUAACAAGAUGCUGGGACCACCUCUGAAUUAGUGAAUCAGGGAGCUGCUGUGUGAUCCCCUCCUCCAGGCUUUCUUGGAGUUUGUCUCUGCCACUUCCUCAAGCCCUUUAAAAAGGCUCCUGUGCUUUAGAGAGUUAGGAUGUUAAUGACCGUUCUUUUUUCUUGUACUUUAUUAAGUACUAGUCUUACUAGACUAGUGCUUAAGUGGCAGUGUCUGCCUUUGCCUUCUCCCAUCUCUUUAUGCUCCUUUCUUCCAACUUCUCACGUUUCUGUUUCUCGCACGGCCAGGUGUCCAGCAUCCCAUGCUGACUUGCGGUUGGCCAAUCCCCUCCUCGUAGAUUUCCUCCACAUUUUCCUCUUCCUCCUUUUCCUGUGGGAAGUUCUUUUUCUGGGCUGUGGCUGGUCUUACGUAGUUCGGUGGAAAAAGUAUUGAGGUAGUGUUAGAUACUGUGCUGCACCUCCAGGAGUGUCCAAUCUUUUGGCUUCCCUGGGCCACACUGGAACAAGAAGAACUGUCUUGGGCCACACGUAAAAUACACGGACACUAACGAUAGCUGAUGAGCUAAAAAAAAAAAAAAUUGCAAAAAAAAUCUCAUAGCGUUUUAAGAAAGUUUGUGAAUUUGUGUUGAGCCACAUUCAAAGCUGUCCUGGACCACAUCUUGGACAAGCUUGCUUACAGUAUUUCUGCUGGAUUUCUGGUUCCAACUAGCUAUGGAACCCUGUGAGAGAUUUGAGUCUCCGCUCAUCUGAAAUGAGAGGUUGGAUGGAGAACGGUCUUUCCAGCCCUAAAAUGCUGUGAUUGAGAUUAUUCAUACGGUGGUAUGGUUGUAGACCCUCACAGGAAACUUCAGCAUUUUGAAAGGUACCCAGUAAUCAAGACUGGUCUCAGUGUAGGGGUGAUGCCUUUGAGUCCCCAGGUAAAACGAUCUUGGACUCCUUAAAUUAGAUUGCCUGCCUUGUGGCCCGCCCUCUUCUUCAGGAGUUAGGGAUGGGUCAGGAGGGCACCCUUGUCUUUAUUGUGAUAUCUACGUUAGAAUACCCGAAUAUUGAACCUGGAUUACACUUUGGAAAAAUUGCUGACACAGGUGUGAAAUAUUCGGCUGCUUUUCAUCUCCAUGAAGGAGGCAGUGGCCUUCUAAAGUUGUUCUUUCGGUGAUGGUAUUUAAACCACUAGGAGAGUUUCUGGGAACCUGCUUCAUGCCUCUGUUAAUUCUUAUACAACUCAUAAAAAAUGCCACUUCAGAUCUUUCUCUUGCAAAAUUGUGCAUGGCCUGUGACCGUAAGUGCUAGUGUCCUAUUUCUAGGGACAUUUUUGUUAGUACUGAAUCUUUUUGUUAUGUUCACCAAGCUACUUAUCUGUCCAUUGUCAAGGCCACUGACAGUUGUUUUGCUGUCUGCUUUUGUAUUGAUGUGUCAUGCAUUCAUUGCACAUAUUGUUUAUUUUUUAAAAUCUGUGUUUAUCUUUUUUGUUUGUUUCCAGAGAGAUUAGUUAUUGCUAUGCUAAGAACAUUUAUUUAAUCCUUUGUCCUUAGUGUCAUUCAUAUUCCUUUAGCUAUUCCUAUUUUUUAGCUUUUUAGAACUUUAUAAUACCUACUUUUUAUGGGCUCACUUCCAAAAUAAUUUGUGGUGACUCUUCCAUUUUUAGCGUGUAUUGCCUGAAAAUUCAGGUAUUUAAUAGCAAAUGAAAGUUUUUUUUUUAAAUGUUGUUUAUUUUGGAUUUUAUCUUUGAAAUCUGUAGUUUGUUUUAUGCCUCUUAGUUAGCUUACAAAAAGUUACUCUGCUUACACGUCUCUUAUUUUUAUGGAAAAAGAUAUAACAUCCCCCUUUGCUCCCCCUUUUAAAGGGUUCUAAAUUGAGAUUCUUUCUGCUACUAAUUUAAUUCUUCUGAAAAAGAAACAUAGGGGUUUGUUCUUUGCCAUAUAUCUUUGUUACUGCCUAACAAGCAGUUUGGAACAAUGACUUUAUAGACUUAAUCAGUACCCUGUUUAGUCAUUUCAUAUCAUCUGCAGUAUGUUUUUGAGAUACAUAUUUUUUUAAAAAAUAAAAGAUCAUUUGGGAUUCUAAACAACAGAAAUAUCCAAACAACAGAAUUGCUCUAAAGUUUUAAAAGUGAUCAUCUGUAUGAGAAAUCAUGCCUUGCAAUAACUGAAGAACAUUUGCUCUUCUGUGGGAAACAGUGGCGGCACGUCCUCGGCUCAUUCUUGGUCUGAGUGGUCCAGCCACUUACCCCAGAAAGCGGUCCUGCAUUGUGGAGGGAAACCACAGUGGCUCCCGAGAAUCCAUUGGCAAUGGAUGCAUUCUGACCACAUUUAUUGUUGUUUUUGGAGGGUAACAGUUGUUUUAAAGCACUGAACUGUAAUUGCAUAAAUACUCAUCUUACUUCCUAAAACGUGUUUGUUGAUCAUCGUGCUCUUUUGGAGUAAGAGCUGUAAGCUCUGGUAAGAUUACUCCUCAGGAACAUGUUGGGUCUUGGACAUUGCAGGUCAGUCAUCUAGGGCAGCAGUCUCCAAUCUUUUUGGCACCAGGGACUGGUUUGUGGAAGAUAAUUUUUCCACGGAUGGGUGGGGUGGGGGAUGGUUUCAGGUUGAUUCAAGCGCAUUCCAUUUAUUGUGCACUUUAUUUCUAUUAUUAUUACAUUGUCAUAUAUAAUGAAGUAAUUAUACAACUCACCAUAAUGUAGUAUCAGUGGGAGCCCAGAGCUUGUUUUCCUGUAACUAGAUGGUCCCAUCUCGGAAUGAUGGGAGACAAUGACAGGCCGUCAGGCAUUAGACUCUCGUAAGGAACCCGCAGCCUAGAUCCCUCGCAUGUGCAGUUCACAGUAGGGUUGGUGCUCUUAUGAGAAUCCAACGCUGCUGGUGAUCUGACAGGAGGCGGAGCUCAGGCGGUGAUGCGAGUGAUGGGGUGCGGCUGUAAAUACAGAUGAAGCUUUGCUUGCUAGUCCACUGCACACCUCCUGCUGCGUGGUCCAGUUCCUAACAGGCCACAGACCAGUACCCAUCUGUAGCCCGGGACUUGGGGGCCCCUCAUCUAGAGUAUUCUGGACUGUGGACUCUGUGUUCCUUUUCAUGCAUUGGAAUCUUCCUAGUCCUCAACAGGGAGCCUAGGAGCAGGCACAAGGAAACAUGUCCCCUCUGGGUAAACUUUCUGUCCAAAAUUAAACAAAACAAACAAAAAACCUGAAUACGUCUGGAAUCUGUCUGAGUGUUUUGUGGAUGCAGGCCCACCCUGGCCCUGGCAUAUCAGCAAGCCAGUUGUGGGCCAUUCUUUUCCUCCCUGUUUAUUGUCGUUUUUUCCUGCGUUCUUUACUCACUCAGUUUCCUUCCUUUUUUGUCUUUUUUGGUUCUUUUCCGUUUCUUCUCUUUUUCCUUUUACCUUCUUCCAUUCCUUAUAUGGAUAGCCUAGGAAACAUCCUACACUUACCAUAGGCAUUUUUUUUAGCCUGAUUAAUGGCAGUCCAGAACUAAAGACAAAUUUUACUCUGAUAUUAUGGUCUGUAAAAUCGCAUGCUGGUGCAAAUUAUUUAUUUGUUUGUUUGUUUGUUUGUUUUUUGAGACAGAGUUUCACUCUUGUGGCCCAGGCUGGAAUGCAGUAGGAUGAUCUUGGCUCACUGCAACCUCUGCCUCCUGGGUUCAAGCAGUUCUUCUGCCUCAGCCUCCCAAGUAGCUGGUAUUACAGGCAUACACCACCACACCCAGCUAGUUUUAUAUUUUUAGUAGAGACGGGGUUUCACCAUGUUGGCCAGGCUGGUCUCGAACUCCUGACCUCAGGUGAUCCACCCGCCUUGGCCUCCCAAAGUGCUGGCAUUACAGGCAUGAGCCACCGUGCUCGGCCUGGAGUUUCACUCUUGUUGCCCAGACUGGAAUGCAGUGGGAUAACCCUGGUUUACUGCAACCUCCACCUCCUGGGUUCAAGCAAUUCUUCUGCCUCAGCCUCCCAAGUAGCUGGUAUUACAGGCAUGCACCACCACACCUGGCUAAUUUUGUAUUUUUAGUAGAGAUGGGGUUUUACCAUGUUGGCCAGGCUGGUCUCUUGAACUUCUAACCUCAGGUGAUCCACCCACCUCAGCCUCCCAUAGUGCUGGGAUGACAGGUGUGAGCCACUGUGCCUGGCCCGGAGUUUCACUCUUGUUGCCCAGGCUGGAAUGCAGUGGGAUGAUCUCGGUUCACUGCAGUCUCCACCUCCUGGGUUCAAGCAAUUCUCCUGCCUCAGCCUCCCAAGUAGCUGGUAUUACAGGCAUGCACCACCACACCCGGCUAAUUUUAUAUUUUUAGUAAAGACGGGGUUUCACCAAGUUGGCCAGGCUGGUCUCUCGAACUUCUAACCUCCCGGAUGGUCCACCCACGUCGGCCUCCCAAAUUGCUGGAAUGACAGGCGUGAGCCACCACACCCAGCCAGUGCAAAUUAUUUCUGAAGAGUUUAAUAUGUUUAUAUAGCAUAUUUCAGGUUGAAUGGAAAAGAUAUGUGAAAUGUAUCACUUCUCAAGCUGUUUUUGAUAUUUAAAUGGGCAUUCAAAUAGGUUUCAGAUUGAUGUUUAAAUUUUCAGAUUUAAAUAGGCAUUCAAAUAGGUUUCAGAUAGGUGUUUAGACUUUCAGAUUUAACUAGGCAUUCAAAUAGGUUUCAGAUUGAAGUUUAAAGAACAGUUUGCCUAAAUUUUGGUAAUAAAUAACCAUAUAGAAUUUCAGGGUCCUUUCUACGUAUGGAAAUUUUUGGUAAACAAAGAUAUUGUUUGGGUUAAAGUAGUAUUUUUAAAUUUCUUAAAUUAUAACAGAGUUUGGUAUGUAAAAAAUGUGGUAGAGUCAAAUUUGUGUUAAAUAGCAACUGUGACCUAUGCCACUCUGAAGGAGCACAGUAUAUUCUAGCUGUAAGGGCCUUGGGAGCACAUUGAGUUCAAUCUUCUCAUUUUAUAAAUGAGACAAUUUACUUAAACUUACACACCUGGUUCACAGCAUAGCGGACCACAGUUAGGUCUUCCACCUCCCUGUCCACUGUGCUUUUUGGGCAGAAGAUAAGGUUAGGAAAUUUAGAAGUGAAGUGGACAGAAUAGCAUGAGAAGACCAUUAUAUUUGAGUUCUCAAGCAAGCUUUGACUUUAACUUCUGAGUUACGAGAUAUUGGAUUAGGUGUGUUUAACCUCUUUGGAUCUUAAUUUUCGGAGGGUUGUAUUUUUAGGUCCUUCUGAAUUCCAAUCAGGUGAAAAAAAAUGAAAUAGGUUUCAAUUCUUCUUAUUGUAGGUUCUUGCAAUUUCACUUUAAGUAGUACCCCUAUUUUUUAGUAGCAUUCCUGUUUUUUUCUUGUUAGUGAAUCAACUUUUCAACACGUGUUGUUGUUAGACACAGGCUGUCUGAGUCAAGAUGCUAGUUGCUUCUGUAUUCAGAUGUCUCUAGCAUUGUCUUGAUUAACUGAAGUUAAAACACUUUAAAAGGCAGUUCUUCCCUAGUUUCAAACUGCAGGAAUAGUCCAUGGACACGUUAUUCAGAGGUACUCUUUUCAAGUGGUUUACACUUUCUUACAGUCUUCAAGAGUAAUCUCAUCAUGUAAGUAAAAUUUAAGAGAAUUUUGCUGCUCCAACUUCUAGAGUUGCUUUAUUUAUGGUUGUGGAACAGGUUUUUCCAUUCUUAGUAGGAUAAUCUGGCAUUGUUUGUGUCAGAGAGAAGACAGUUGUAACAAUGUGGAAGGAUAGGAAAGGUGAGUUUAAAGUAUUGAAGAAAAGCUGAAAGACUGGAGGUUUUUUUCAGAAGACUCUGCCAGUGAGCUUUGAGACCUUUCCCCCAUUGCCUAGCAGUAGUUCCCAUGCCCUUAAUUGUUUUAAAAAAGCCCAUUCUAGGCCGGGCGUGGUGGCUUACGCCUGUAAUCCCAGCACUUUGGGAGGCUGAGGCAGGAAGAUUGCUUGAGUCCAGGAGUUUGAGACUAGCCUGGGCGACAUAGUGAGAGUUUGCCUUUACCCAGGUGUGGUGACCUGUGCCUGUGAUCCCAGAUACUCAGGGAGGUUGAGGCAGGAGGAUCACUUGGGCUUGGGAGGCCAGGGCUACAGUGACCUGUGAUCAUGCCACUGCACUCUAGUCUGGGUGACAGAGUAAGACCCUGUCUCAAAACAAAACAACAAACCAUUCUUUCAGUGAACACUUUUUUAAUACCUAUUAUGUGCAUAGCACGAGUUAGGUGCUGUGGGAAUUACAAAAGAAUUGUUCAUAUAGGGCUUUUUGCUGUAGGUGCUUCCUCUCUAGCUGGGUUCCCAGUACUUAGGCCAUGAAAUGGUGAGGUGAAGUAAAUGAGUACGCGCAUAGAGUGCUCUAGUUGAGAAGGGAGAAGGGACAAAGCAGUAGGGGAAGACUCUAGGGAGCCAUGGAAUCUGAGCAGUUUGAAGGACCAGUAGUUAAGAAUAGCUAAAAAGAACUCAUUUUAAUUUUCUUUUGGGAGAAUGCAAGGGAAGUGGUUGGGCUAGGUUAGGACAUAGGCUUGGGAGUUGGGAAAGAACCACUGUAGGUUUUAAAGUGUAAACCAAACAGUGACAGAGGCAGAUCUCAAUCAGUUUAGAGGUUUAUUUUGCCAAGGUUGAGGAUGCACCCCCGAAAAAGAAACACAAGUCACAGGAGGACCUGUGUCUUGUGCUUUUUCUGAAGAGGAUUUUGGGAACUUCAAUAUUUAAAGUGGAAAGAGAAAGCAGGAGGGGAAGAAAAAAAAGGGAGAGUGGGUAGGCAAUGAGGCAAGUGGUUACAUUCUUGGGAGGCUCUGAUUAGUACUGCUCAGUGAAUCUACAUUUUUACAUGUGAAAAGAAAGGAGUGGGGGAAAAAGUCAAUUAUGCAUUCGUCUUGUGCUCAGUAAAUCUACAUUUUACGUAAGAUAAAGUAAGCAUGUGAAAUUACAGCUGUUUGGGAACAAAAGUAAGGCAGUUUUUUCGUGAUUCAGUUUCCAGGCUUAACUUUCCCUCUGGCAUAGUGAGUUUGGGGUCCUGAGAUUUUAUUUUUCUUUCACAGUGGCAAAUGAGGGAGACCCCUGGAAAUAAUACAGCCUUUUUGCCCUAGCUUUUUAUAAUAUUUUGAAAAUUUCACGCUUAAAAAAAUAGUACUGUGAGCACCUGUAUACCCUGCUUCUGUAUUCACUAGUUAACAUUUUGCUGUACUUGCUGGCUUGUUCCAAGUGUGUGUAUAUUUUGAACCAUAUGUGGUAAGUAUGCAUAUUUGUAUUAUUUUGCCUCAUCAUUUGAAUGUAAGUUGCAGACAUCAUGACAUUUCACCUCUAAAUACAUGCUAAGGAGGACUGUUUUCUGUAUAUACCUGCAAAACAGUUGUCACACCCACAGAGUCUAGCACUGAUGCAAUAACCUGGCUUAAUAUAUAAAAAAUAUUUAAACAUGAAGGUGUGUUUAUUGUCUUGGGACCACGAGUAUUGAAUAAAUUGGUGUGGCGAGGCUAGAGCCACAGAAACUGGUUUACACAUAUUUGAAGAGUCAUAUGUAGCCAUAAAAUAGAAAGAGGAAGCUCAUUGUAUUCUGAUCUGCUAUACAAUAAAAUCCUGAGUAGAAACAAGGCAUAGAAGAAUGUAAAAAAAGAGAAUUUAUAAACAUUUGCAUAUAUAUAGAUAUAAUAACUCUGGAAGGAUAGAAAAAGAACCAUAAUAUUCCAUGCCUUUGAGAUAAGGCAUCAGGUAGCUGGGGGACAGGUGGACUUUUCUCUGAAUAUUCCUUGUUACCUUUUAUGUUCUAUUUUGCAUUUUGAACUAUGUGAAUAUAUUACUUAUUCAGAAAUAAAUGGUAAAGAAGCACGCAUAGGCUUUUGUUGUUACCAUUAUUAGCUCUGUAACGUGUAGGAGCAUACUUCUCUUUACAGCCUAAAGAGAUUUGGAGAAUGAGACGUGAGGCACAGACAAUGGAGAAAAAAUUUUAUUAUUUCAGUUUUGAAGGGUGUUUUAGUCCAUUAGAGCUGUUGUAACAAACUGUUGUAGACUGGUUGGGUUAUAAACAACAGACAUUUAUUUCUCACAGCUCUGGAGGCUGGGAAAUCCAAGAUCAAGGUGCUGGCAGAUUCAGUAUUUGGUGAGAGUCAGCUUCCUGGUUCAUAGAUGGCGCCUUCUCCCUGGGUCCUCACGUGGUGGAGAGAAGAAGCAAGCUCUCUGGACCCUUAUGAGGACACUAGUCUCAUUCAUGAGGUCUCUAUCCUCAUGACCUCAUCUAACCCUAAUUACCUCCCAAAGACCCUACCUCCUAAUCCUAUCAUCAGGGAGUAGGGUUUCAGCAUAUGAAUUCUGGGGAGACACAAGCCUUCAGUCCGUGACAAAGGGAAAUUUGCUAUUUGUGCCACUUAAUGGACUGAGAUACUCAUGGUGUAAGAAGGUAGUUUUUCAGGAGCUGCUAGUGGGGAGAGUAGGGGGGGCUUGAUGGGAAUCUGAUAUCCAGGAAGUAUGGGAAUUUCACAAGGGAGAGCACAAAGGAAGGUGUAGUAGAAGUACAGAAUGUACUUCUGUACAUUAUGUCCAAAUCCCAGAAGUAUGACUGGGAUUUGGACUUUGCCUUGUUGAUGUAUUAAUACUAUUUUUUUUUUUUUUUUUUGAGACAGGGUCUUGCUCUGUUGCCCAGGCUGGAGUGCAGUGGCGCAAUCUUGGCUCACUGCAGCCUCCGCCUUCCAGAUUCAAGUGAUUCUCGUGCCUCAGCCUCCAGAGUAGCUGGGAUUACAGGCGUGCACCACCUCGCCCAGCUAAUUUUUUUUAUUUUUGUAAUAGUAGAGACAGGGCUUUGCAAGGUUGGCCAGGCUGGUCUCAAACUCUUGACCUCAAAUGUUAUCUGCCUGCCUUGGCCUCCCAAAGUGCUGGGAUUAUAGGAGUGAGCCAACAUGCUUGGCCUAUUCAUACUAUUUUUGAGGACAAAAGAUGGUGUGUUAAAAAAGCUGCUGAGAGAAAAUGAACAUUUAGAAAUAAUGUCUGCCUAUUUGUUCAAUUAAAAAAUCAUAAUGUUUCUAAUGCCUAAUAAUUAUUUUUUAAAAGACAGGUUCUUAGAUUUUACUGAAGAUUAUGUGAAGGUUAAAGUAAAGCCUUAUUGAGUAAAUGCUAGAAAUCUGUUAUUAGUAAGUUAUGUCUAUUUGAUAGCAGUUUGAUUAUUUUGUGUGAUAAUUUUUAUAUAAUUAUAUGAUGAACUUCUGUGAUAGCUACCCUUUAAAAUUACUUUUUCUCAGUGUUUUGAGAUGUUACAUGAAAGGUUAAAAUUAAUUUUGGAGUUAACUCAGCCACAGUUUAUUUUCUAUUUUGUUAAUGAUUAACACGAAAUUAUCGAUUGGUACUUAGAGCCUCUUCUCUUGAAGGCCAGUGUUUGUUAAUUAGUGAGUGUUGAAUUGCUCCCCGGGUUUAGUAGGCAUCUUGUGGUUAAUGGAGACAGAUGGUCUUCCCUUGAUAGAUGCUUCUGGAAAGUUAACAUUCCAGCAGUGACGGUUACAUUCCUGUCAGGCAGGACUUCAGGAAGAGAGGAACUCCGCACCGUUUGAUCAGGAUUCCCAGGUGUGACUUUGCAGGUGAAGAAAUUUGAUUUUAUCAAUUCAUUUAGGGUGGAUGGAGAUUGUGAGACUGAGUAAAGCUAUCCAAGCCAAGCAAGCUUACAUGAGAUUCAAUUCUCCAGUGUAUUAGUUGGCAGUGGAAGAUGUGCUGUAGCCAGCUGUAGACUUAUUGAAAGGAUAAAACUUGGAUCAGAAUUUUGUUGGUGAGCAUAGAAAUAAGAUGGGAAAGAACUGGAUAUUUUCAAGUUGUCUGUCAAGCCAUGUGGAUUUGACAGAGAACUCUCUCCCUUCCGGGGCUAUCCUGUCUAAAAAAAUGGAGCCCAGGCUGGGUGCUUUGGUUCAUGCCUGUAAUCCCAGCACUUUGGGAGGCUGAGGCAGGAGGAUUGUUUGAGCCCAAGAGUUCAAGACUAGCCUGGGCAACAUGACGAGACCCUAUCUUUACAAAAUUAAAAAAUUAGUCAGACAUGGUGGUGAAUGUCUGCAGUCCUAGCUACUUGGGAGGCUGAAGUGGGAGAAUU